UGGGGAAUAUUGGACAAUGGAGGAAACUCUGAUCCAGCAAUUCUGUGUGUGUGAAGAAGGUUUUAGGACUGUAAAACACUUUUAGUAGGGAAGAAAAAAAUGACGGUACCUACAGAAGAAGCAACGGCUAAAUACGUGCCAGCAGCCGCGGUAAUACGUAUGUCGCGAGCGUUAUCCGGAAUUAUUGGGCGUAAAGAGCUUGUAGGCGGUUCGUCGCGUCUGGUGUGAAAGCCCAUCGCUUAACGGUGGGUUUGCGCCGGGUACGGGCGGGCUAGAGUGCAGUAGGGGAGACUGGAAUUCCCGGUGUAACGGUGGAAUGUGUAGAUAUCGGGAAGAACACCAAUGGCGAAGGCAGGUCUCUGGGCUGUUACUGACGCUGAGAAGCGAAAGCGUGGGGAGCGAACAGG
rnacentral:rRNA from 1 species